AGAGUUUGAUCCUGGCUCAGGAUGAACGCUGGCGGCGUGCUUAACACAUGCAAGUCGAACGAAGCACCUUAUUCUGAUUUCUUCGGAAUGAAAAAUUUGGUGACUGAGUGGCGGACGGGUGAGUAACGCGUGGGUAACCUGCCUCAUACAGGGGGAUAACAGUUAGAAAUGACUGCUAAUACCGCAUAAGACCACAGCACCGCAUGGUGCAGGGGUAAAAACUCCGGUGGUAUGAGAUGGACCCGCGUCUGAUUAGGUAGUUGGUGGGGUAACGGCCUACCAAGCCGACGAUCAGUAGCCGACCUGAGAGGGUGACCGGCCACAUUGGGACUGAGACACGGCCCAAACUCCUACGGGAGGCAGCAGUGGGGAAUAUUGCACAAUGGGGGAAACCCUGAUGCAGCGACGCCGCGUGAGCGAUGAAGUAUUUCGGUAUGUAAAGCUCUAUCAGCAGGGAAGAAAAUGACGGUACCUGACUAAGAAGCACCGGCUAAAUACGUGCCAGCAGCCGCGGUAAUACGUAUGGUGCAAGCGUUAUCCGGAUUUACUGGGUGUAAAGGGAGUGUAGGCGGGAUCAUAAGUUGCGUGUGAAAUGCAGGGGCUCAACCCCUGAACUGCGCGCAAAACUGUGGUUCUUGAGUGAAGUAGAGGCAGGCGGAAUUCCCGGUGUAGCGGUGGAAUGCGUAGAUAUCGGGAGGAACACCAGUGGCGAAGGCGGCCUGCUGGGCUUUUACUGACGCUGAGGCUCGAAAGCAUGGGGAGCAAACAGGAUUAGAUACCCUGGUAGUCCACGCCGUAAACGAUGAUUACUAGGUGUGGGGGGAUAACCCCCUCCGUGCCGGAGUUAACACAAUAAGUAAUCCACCUGGGGAGUACGACCGCAAGGUUGAAACUCAAAGGAAUUGACGGGGGCCCGCACAAGCAGUGGAGUAUGUGGUUUAAUUCGAAGCAACGCGAAAAACCUUACCAGGUCUUGACAUCUAUCGCUAUCCCAAGAGAUUGGGAGUUCCCUUCGGGGACGGUAAGACAGGUGGUGCAUGGUUGUCGUCAGCUCGUGUCGUGAGAUGUUGGGUUAAGUCCCGCAACGAGCGCAACCCUUACUGUUAGUUGCUACGCAAGAGCACUCUAACGGGACUGCCGUUGACAAAACGGAGGAAGGUGGGGAUGACGUCAAAUCAUCAUGCCCUUUAUGACCUGGGCUACACACGUACUACAAUGGCCGCUAACAAUGAGCAGCGAAACCGCGAGGUGGAGCGAAUCUAUAAAAGCGGUCUCAGUUCGGAUUGCAGGCUGCAACUCGCCUGCAUGAAGUCGGAAUUGCUAGUAAUCGCGGAUCAGCAUGCCGCGGUGAAUACGUUCCCGGGCCUUGUACUCAGCGCCCGUCA
rnacentral:rRNA from 1 species